ensembl:lncRNA
AUGGGGCUGUGCCAGCUGCAGGCAGGUCCCCUGGGGCUCCCUCUCCCCUUCUCUGGGUGUCCUGCUGCUGCCUCCAGGCAGAGACCACCCUGGGGGUGUUGGAGGUGCCCACCUUGCCCUGCCUGCCUCGGGCUUCAGUGGGGGGGGAAAGGUGUGUCAUUGCCACCCGCAGGCUCCUCACCCCUCCAGGGGACAGGGAUUGGUCACAAGCCACUUUCAUCAGCCUCCCCCUAUUGCCUCCACUUCCCCAACCCCCCCUUGGGGGCCCAGGGCCACUUGUCCCCCUGCCCCACAUGGCCCCUGCUCUCCUGCCCUCUGCCCAGCCUGGCUGCUCAGGGGGGAGGAUCUGGGGCACUGGUACCAGUGCUGGGGACCCAGCAAUGCCAGCAGCUCCUGGGGGAGCAGGGGGCUGGCACCUGCCUCCCACCCGUCCUGGGGCUGGCUCAACCCCGUGCAGCCUCUCAGGACAGCUGUGCUGGCUCCCCACAUGCCAAGUGGCAUCGCCUGUGCCCGGCUGGGGCGGCUGGCUCUGCCCUGGCCAGGGACAUCCCUUGGGAUGCCAGAGAGGGAGGGACACAUGGAGGCGCCCGGAGACACACUGAGAGCAUCUGUGCACUGUCAGUGCUGCUCGCCGGACCCAGGGGGCUGUGCCCUGUGCCUGCUCCCGGUGCCCUGCUCCCCAUGCCCUGCUCCCUGUGCCUGCUCCCCGUGCUCUGCUCCCCACUCCCUACUCCCCAUGGCACCCCCUGCCCUGCUGCCCUGGCUGGGCCGCACAGGAGCCGUGGGGCAGGGGGCAGCAGGGCUUGUGGGGACGACGGUCAGGUCUGUGUCUGCAGAGGGUGGAGGUCUGUGGAAGUUGUGUGGGGUGAGAAAGGCUGUGGCUGUCUGUGCCAUGUCUGUGCCAUUGGCUGGGGCUCUGCAGGUGCAGCCUGGGGCUCUGGCCAGGCUGUUUGGGGCCAGUUUGGGGGGACUGGGCUGGCAUUGGAGGGUGGGUGUGCAGGACGAGGCAGCUGCUGGUCCCAGUGCAGGGCUGGGACAUAG